ensembl:snoRNA
GCAUGGGUUUGGAUUUAUGAUGGGCCCGUCCCCCUGGGCCUCUCAUAGUACCCCAUGCCAGAGCAAACUGUAGCCCCAAACCAUUGCCUGGCCUGAGUGCUCGUAGGCUGCUGGCACUGACGCGGGUUGCACAUGG